UAAAGAGCUCGUAGGCGGUUUGUCACGUCUGCUGUGAAAUCCCGAGGCGCAACCGCGGGACUGCAGUGGGUACGGGCAGACUAGAGUGUGGUAGGGGAGACUGGAAUUCCUGGUGUAGCGGUGGAAUGCGCAGAUAUCAGGAGGAACACCAAUGGCGAAGGCAGGUCUCUGGGCCACAACUGACGCUGAGGAGCGAAGAGCGUGGGGAGCGAACAGGAUUAGAUACCCUGGUAGUCCACGCCGUAAACGGCGGGCACUAGAUGUGGGGCUCAUUCCAUGAGUUCCGCGUCGCAGCUAACGCAUUAAGUGCCCCGCCUGGGGAGUACGGCCGCAAGGCCUAAAACUCAAAGGAAUUGACGGGGGCCCGCACAAGGCGGCGGAGCAUGCGGAUUAAUUCGAUGCAACGCGAAGAACCUUACCAAGGCUUGACAUAUACCGUUUACCCCUAGAGAUAGGGGGUCCUUCGGGGCGGUAUACAGGUGGUGCAUGGUUGUCGUCAGCUCGUGUCGUGAGAUGUUGGGUUAAGUCCCGCAACGAGCGCAACCCUCGUCCUAUGUUGCCAGCACGUAAUGGUGGGGACUCAUAGGAGACUGCCGGGGUCAACUCGGAGGAAGGUGGGGAUGACGUCAAAUCAUCAUGCCCCUUAUGUCUUGGGCUUCACGCAUGCUACAAUGGCCGGUACAAAGGGCUGCGAUACCGUAAGGUGGAGCGAAUCCCAAAAAGCCGGUCUCAGUUCGGAUUGAGGUCUGCAACUCGACGUCAUGAAGUUGGAGUCGCUAGU
rnacentral:rRNA from 1 species